rnacentral:rRNA from 1 species
UACGUAGGGGGCAAGCGUUGUCCGGAAUCAUUGGGCGUAAAGAGCGUGUAGGCGGCCAGACAGGUCCGUUGUGAAAACUGGAGGCUUAACCUUCAGACGUCGAUGGAAACCGUCUGGCUAGAGUCCGGAAGAGGAGAGUGGAAUUCCUGGUGUAGCGGUGAAAUGCGCAGAUAUCAGGAAGAACACCCGUGGCUAAGGCGGCUCUCUAGUACGGUACUGACGCUGAGACGCGAAAGCGUGGGGAGCGAACAGG